rnacentral:rRNA from 1 species
GCAGCCGCGGUAAAACGUAGGGUGCUAGCGUUGUCCGGAAUUACUGGGUGUAAAGGGAGCGCAGGCGGUCCUUUAAGUUGGAAGUUAAAUCUACGGGCUCAACCCGUAUUCGCUUUCAAAACUGAAGGACUUGAGUGAAGUAGAGGUAGGCGGAAUUUCCGGUGUAGCGGUGGAAUGCGUAGAUAUCGGAAGGAACACCAGUGGCGAAGGCGGCCUACUGGGCUUUUACUGACGCUGAGGCUCGAAAGCAUGGGUAGCAAACAGGAUUAGAUACCCC